AGUGAAUAGAUACCCGGGUAGUCCACGCUGUAAACGAUGAGUGCUGGACGUUGGCGGGUUUACCUGCCGGUGUCGCAGCUAAACGCGUUAAGCACUCCGCCUGGGGAGUACGGCCGCAAGGUUAAAAACUCAAAGGAAUUGACGGGGGCCCGCACAAGCGGUGGAGCAUGUGGUUUAAUUCGACGCAACGCGCAGAACCUUACCAGCCCUUGACAUGGGCGGACGGGGUCCAGAGAUGGACUCUUUCUCGCAAGAGACCGCUACACAGGUGCUGCAUGGCUGUCGUCAGCUCGUGUCGUGAGAUGUUGGGUUAAGUCCCGCAACGUAGCGCAACCCUGUCUCCAGUUGCCAUCGGGUAGAGCCGGGUCACUUUGGAGAAA
rnacentral:rRNA from 1 species